UAUUUAUUGGAUGUGAAAACUGAAAAAAGGGAAGACGUCAACGUGAUUCACGAAGAAACAAAUUCUGGAUUUUUUUUGUUUCCAAGCAGGUGUUUUGCUAGCUAAGUUACCAGCAAUGACAUCGACAGGUGAACAAUGCUAUCCACUGAAUUUGUCAUAAAAUGUGGCCAAUUUACUGGACUACUUCCGUAACCAGUAAUUAGAGCGAGAAGAUGAAGAGAAAGCAGCCGAUGAGGUGAGGGAGGAGGCAAACUGGCAGUCCAGACUGCGAGGGAAGGAGCAGCAGACAUGGCUGGGAUGUGAAACCACACCCUGUGGGAUGAUGCAGGUUACACUGGGCUGAGCCAGGAGUCAUUUGAUGAUUGGGUGAGCAGACAGCAGCAGAGCAAAGAACGGCAGCAGCGAUGUCAGGGGCCCCCACAAGUCUUGGUAUAGCCACGCGGGCCUUGACUAAAGGCUACAGCUGUUGCGGCAUCUGGACAAAUUGCUGCAGGAAUGUGGCAGCAGGUUGGUGGAGAGAGACAGUGAUAAGGUCAUGGAGAGGUUCACCCAGCUAUCACAGGCACCCAACCAGUUAGGAGAGGAGGGGAAAUUGCAUUGAUCCUGCCUUUAGAUGAACCCCUAUGCAAUUCAGGCUCUGUGGUUUAUAUUCCUAUUAG